AUUAACGGAACGGAAUAGAAACGGAAUGAAAAUAUGGAGAGGGAUUGACCAAUCGGAGUAAUUCCGUUUCAAUUCCGUUCCGUUUUUUGAUGAACUGGAUCCCCAUGUACAGAACUGUCUCGGAACGGAAAAGGAACGGACACACAUUUAAAAGUGGCAAAGCAUACCCUGCAUGGUCCGUCGGGUGACUUUUACGACGCAUUUUUGUGCAUUUUGUGUCUAUUUUUUUGAACGAUACAUUGAAAUAUCGCCAGACUGUAACAUCCUUACAAAAAUCAAUACAUGAAGCUUUGACAAGUUCAAUAAAAAAUAACAAUAACACUUCUUUCACAUCAACAAGCGACAACUUCAACAAAGAAAAAGGAUUGAUUUUGAUAGAUAUGAAAAAGUUCAUGAAGAUGAGUAUAAGAAUACAAAUAUUUUAGCAGCAGAUCACUUAAAAAAAAGAUUAAAACGUAUAAAUAUGUUAAUACA